rnacentral:rRNA from 1 species
GACGAACGCUGGCGGUGUGCUUAACACAUGCAAGUCGAACGGUAAGGCCCUUCGGGGUACACGAGUGGCGAACGGGUGAGUAACACGUGGGUGAUCUGCCCUGCACUUCGGGAUAAGCCUGGGAAACUGGGUCUAAUACCGGAUAGGACCAUUGCCUGCAUGGGUGGUGGUGGAAAGCUUUUGCGGUGUGGGAUGGGCCCGCGGCCUAUCAGCUUGGUGGUGGGGUGAUGGCCUACCAAGGCGACGACGGGUAGGCGGCCUGAGAGGGUGACCGGCCACACUGGGACUGAGAUACGGCCGAGACUGCUACGGGAGGCAGCAGUGGGGAAUAUUGCACAAUGGGCGCAAGCCUGAUGCAGCGACGCCGCGUGAGGGAUGACGGCCUUCGGGUUGUAAACCUCUUUCAGCAUCGACGAAGCGCAAGUGACGGUAGGUGCAGAAGAAGGACCGGCCAACUACGUGCCAGCCGCCGCCGUAA